GAACGUGAGAUCUGACCUGAGCUGAAGUCGGAGGCUUAACCGACUGAGCCACCCAGGCGCCCCUCUUCAUGUGUAUUAUUAACUUUCAAAACAAGCCACGGAAGUAGAUACACACAAGGAAACGGAAACACAGAGGUUAAAUGGACUCUCCUGAGCUCAGAGACACAAGUGGCAGAGCUGGGACUCAACCUGAGGCCUGACUCCCAAACCCGAGCGCUCGCAGCUGUCACGCGGUUCCAGGCUGACGUGGGCGUUGGCGAGCGGGGAACCCGCAGUGCACGGUAAGAGGCGAGUGUCCACAGCACCAGUUCUCCCUCUGGAUGCUCCAGGUUCCCGGGCUUCGCAACGGCGGUCACAAGCCUCAGGCUCAUGAAAUAGAGGUCACGUAUGUCACUCCCAAGUAGAAGCUCUAAGAGCCACUGAGCGACCCGCCAGCCUUCUCUCUGCCAGGAUGACUGGCAAAGCUCCAGACAGCGGCCACGUCGUCAUCGGCCUGGUGGCAGAGGAAUCUCCCCAGUGAACUGAGUGAGCCCGAAACACCCCUGUCCUACACUCCUGACACCCUGGGAUGUAGUUAGGGCGCCAGCCCAGCGCACGCGGACGAGCACCGAGCACCGAGGCGCCGUGAGGAUGGAGACUCGGGGAGAGGGGACUCUGCGAACUCGUGCAGGUCACGUGACAGGGGAACUGUCACUUACGUUUUCUUUGGGAGGCUGCCGCUGUCCAGGAGCAGUGCCCAUAUCUGAUGGGUCCCGGCCAUGGCUAUCCAGAGAACGUCGGCUCCCUGGACCUCUGAACCUGUGUGGAAACAAACAGUAACUGCCAUGUACGCAUCUCUUUAAUACAAACACUCCACGUGCUUUGGGAAUUUAAAAGAUGACAUUGUUUACUCCUGCCAUGUGAGGACACAGUGCAAAGGCGACCAUCUACAAGCCAGAAGAGAGCUCUCACCAGAAACCAAUCAUGCUGGCACCUUGACCUUGGACUUCUAGCCUCCCAAACUGUGAGAAAAUAAAUUCCUGUUGUUUAAGCCACCCCAUCUGUGGGAUUUUGUUAUGGCAGCCCGAGGUGACUAAGACAUUCCCCCAGAGGACAGAGAUGAGACAGAGAUAUAUCUGCUAUCAACACUUUUAUUUAGCUUCAUAUGAAGGUCCUAGUUUGUGCAAUAAGAAAACGAAGCACAAAGCACAAGGAUUAGAAAGAAAACUGUAAUCAUUAGAAAAUGACAUGCUCUUAAAGCUCUACCUGGCCACACGAGAGCGGUGUUGGGACAUAGCUGAUUCAAAGACCCAGUGAGUUCUUCAAAUUGACCGGCCUAGUUCAUCCAGAGCCUACUGUAGGAAGGCCAAACCUCACAGUAUUAAAAGUGUGAACAAUU